rnacentral:rRNA from 1 species
CAUUAUCGAAAUAAACCUGAUGGGGUUGUUGCUGGUUCUCUAGGGAGCAUGUGCACACCUUGUCAUCUUUAUAUCUCCACCUGUGCACCUUUUGUAGACCUUCCCAGGUCUAUGUUGUCUCAUUUGACCCCACUCCUCAAUGUAUGUUGAUAGAAUGCAUGUGGCUAUAAAAUCUAUACAACUUUCAGCAACGGAUCUCUUGGCUCUCGCAUCGAUGAAGAACGCAGCGAAAUGCGAUAAGUAAUGUGAAUUGCAGAAUUCAGUGAAUCAUCGAAUCUUUGAACGCACCUUGCGCUCCUUGGUAUUCCGAGGAGCAUGCCUGUUUGAGUGUCAUUAAUAACAUAUGUCAGCCACUCUUGUCUGGGAGUGGUCUGGAAGUGGGGGUUUGCUGGCCUUGGUUGGGGUUCAGCUCUCCUGAAAUGCAUUAGUGGAACGACCUGUUCAUUCAUUGGUGUGAUAAACAUCUACGCUAUUGAAUGUAGGGAUGGUUCGGCUUUCUAACGGUCCUCGGACAAUUCAUCAUUUUAUGUGACCUCAAAUCAGGUAGGACUACCCGCUGAACUUAAGCAUAUCA